rnacentral:rRNA from 1 species
GAAACUAACAAGGAUUCCCCUAGUAACGGCGAGUGAAGCGGGAAGAGCUCAAAUUUGAAAUCUGGUAGCCUUCGGUUGCCCGAGUUGUAAUCUAGAGAAGUGUUUUCCGUGCCGGCCCAUGUACAAGUCCCUUGGAACAGGGCGUCAUAGAGGGUGAGAAUCCCGUCCUUGACAUGGACCCCCGGUGCUUUGUGAUACACUUUCAACGAGUCGAGUUGUUUGGGAAUGCAGCUCAAAAUGGGUGGUGAAUUCCAUCUAAAGCUAAAUAUUGGCGAGAGACCGAUAGCGAACAAGUACCGUGAGGGAAAGAUGAAAAGCACUUUGGAAAGAGAGUUAAACAGUACGUGAAAUUGUUGAAAGGGAAACGAUUGAAGUCAGUCAUGCUCUUAGGAUUCAGCCGUUCUGCGGUGUAUUUCCUUUGAGUGGGGUCAACAUCAGUUUUGAUCGAUGGAUAAAGGCACGAGGAAGGUAGCACUCUCGGGUGAACUUAUAGCCUCGCGUCAUAUACAUUGAUUGGGACUGAGGAACGCAGCAUGCCUUUAUGGCCGGGAUUCGUCCACGUACAUGCUUAGGAUGUU